AUCCCUUUUUACUCUCCUUCUUUUUCAAGCUUCGCCAUUCUACACAAACCCUAAAACCAAAGUUGUUCAUCAGGUUCUUUCGUUCAAUAAUCCUUCGUCGCCGCUUUCAUUCUUCUUUGCAAUCUUAUACCCUACCCUCUCACCGCAUCACCGUAAUCCUUGCAGAGUUUCUUUUGGAUCAAAGUAUGGAAGACGAUGAUUGUGGUGUUUAGGGUUAGAGAAACGACGACGUGAGCAAUUGUCGGAGACGAAGAGGAUUCGUCUAUCUUAAUCACUGAUUAUCUUUCUUCGUCAUUCGAUUGCUGUGAAGAAGGAAUCAUGUAACUUAGCAGGUUUUCUAAUCGGGAUUUGAGAGUAAUUAUGGUUUUCUAAAACCUGCGGCUUCUUCUCUUUCCCUUAAUCAGAAACCCUAAAUCAACCGAUGUCGCCCCCACCACAAUCAUUUGGUUCUUAAUCACCUCCAAAGCUAUUCAGGUUUUUUAAAUGAAGAAGAAUGGAUGUUGUGGACUAUUAGGUCUAAAUCCAGAACAAUUAGGUUAUUUCAGAGACCAUUUGGACUAAUAUAGGGGUUAUAUCCAAGUCUUAGCUUCAGCUGGUGUCUAACAUGGUUGUAUGGGACUUCAAAUCCAAUGAAAAUCAGGUACAUAGUACGUUGUCGAUGAUUGUUCCGACAACAACAAUGGCAUAGAGUAGAUGAAGGGGCUCUUGUCAGUUAGACCCGCAAGCACAUAUGAGUUUUGCUGAAGGUUUAAAGACGCACUCCAACUGUUUGAUGAAAUGCUUCAACUAAAAAUUCAAGAUGCAAAUUACCGGCAUAUGCGUUUUUGCGAUGGACAUCAUCUGAAAAUGAAAUUCAUCAACACGCUGUUUAUUUUUUGCUCCAGCAAACUAAUUUGCUGUUUUUUGGGGACUUCAAGAAUUAGAAUGGAUAAUGGGUAGAUUGAUACUGAUGGUGUCUCUUUAGCAACAUACUGGACAGGUUUGAUUGAUAUUACAAGUUUUCAUCUUAUUAUAUGUUUACAACUGGAAUAAUAAUUUCCUUGGUGCAACAGGAGGUAGCAUUGUCAUUUGUACUUUACUUUUGUUUAUUUGAUUUAGGGUAAAGGGAUGUUAUUAGAAUCAGCUCUAAUGAACAGGUGCUCCCAAAAUGGUCACAAACAGGUUGAGAUUAUUUUUACAUUGUAGCACGCAUCCACCAAAUAUAUACCAUAUUCUGGACAAUAUAUAAUUCAAGGAUAACAUAAGAUAUGGGUCGUGGUGUCCCAUGUAGAGAGUUCAAAAUGUGAAAGAUGCUGGAAUGUUUCACCUCAUGUUGGUUCAUUUUUUUUAUCACCCGACGCUUUGCAAACGUUGAUGUUCUGGUCAACCACUUCAUGUUCUUGCAGAUGCAGAAAGUGGAAAGUAAAAUCGUGCAGAAAGUUCGAGGAUAGCGCAUGCUUCUGGUCAAACGGGAUCUUAACAGGCCACGUGGUUUUAUGUUUCUUCGUAAGGUGGUCGCUUGAUUUUUUAUUUGAAUCGCUUGGUGAAACGUGUGGGCGGAUGUAUUUCCAAAAAUCUUUGCUUUGGAGUCCAACAAAAAUGAAAUUGUGGCUGUGAGAUGUCAAUCGUAGUGUCUCAAUUUGUUUUUGGGAGUGAAAAAGGGAAGUUGGAUGAAGAGCUGUUAGAGUUUGGUCUUUGUCAAAAUUUAAUUCAAGAGAUCACGCUCUGGGAGUCUACUAACCAGAUUUUGAGGAAGCGGGUUGACCAUUUCGAAAUAUGUUGGCCCUUUGAAUAAUACCAGGUCAAAUGAGACCUACGGAGCUGCAUGAAGCACGGUUUGAGGCCUUGCAACAAGGGAUCUUGAAAGCUUCAAUAUUUGUUUAUGAACAAUUAUGUCAUAAAAGAUGCGUUCAUCAGAAAUCGGUAUUACUGUCCGCUGGCGCACGAAAGAUGCUUAUAAGGAUAUCAAAGUGUUGGUUUUAUUUGAAUCAUAGUGUUGACGUUAACACACAUUUUCACGGUCGCGUCGAUAAAGUUUCACCCACGCCGAUUUCUCAGUCAUUGAUCGAGCAUUUUAUGCAUAGUCGUCAAUAGCGAAUUGCUGAUGAUAACGAUAAGCUACAUAUACGCUACGUAGCUAUAGUGUUAAAAUAGCGGGCACCAUAGUUGUUAACGGUAAAUAGCGACAAAUAGCGAUAAGGUACCUACCUAUAUGUUACAUAGCGAAUAACGAUAAAUAGCGGGCAGUGAUGGUGAUUAACGGUGGGUAUAAGUUCCGGGGGUGGUAGAAGGUGAUUGUGGUGGUGACGGUUGACAAUUAUGGCGGACAAUGGUGGUUUGGUUUUUAGUGGUGCUCGGUGGAGCUAUGGAGAGUAACCGGGGUAGCCGGUGAGGUAUUAACCAGAGACGAGUCAAGUAACGAGUCAACCACUGGUCAACCGCGGUCAAAGCUGGUCAAUAGUGGUUAACAUGUCAGACUCGGUUGGCAUUUGAAUCGGGGAAACUCGGUGAGGUAUUAACUUGAACACUUGAACUAUUUAAACAUUUUGAUUAAUUAAUAUUCAAAUAUAAUUCCUGUGGGAUUUAUUUUCUCAGAGUGGUGAAGCUUAAUCUAUUCUAUGCUAUAUAAUAGAUAAAGUUUUUUUUAUGCCAAGUGUCAAUCAAUGAGACCACUUAAUUUUCACUUUCUCGCUCAUUGUAUGACGUGGUAAACCCGCUAAUUAAUAUGUUUCUAAGUUGGCAAUUAUUUUCCAAGAAAUUCAAGAACUGGGCAUUCGUGAUGCCAUGUUAUAUUGACGGAAGUAGUAUGUACCCACUUGUAUACGAAUCUUUAUUACCUAAAGUACGUCGUUAGCUCCACAAGCACGCCUUUGUCUCUGUUGAAGACAAAUCGAGCGUUAGCUGCACCAGAUAAAAAAAAAAACCUUUGUCUCUGUUGAAGAAAAAUUGAGCGUUAGCCGUACCAGAAAAAAAGAGCUAUGAGUUUCAUCAACUGCUAUUGUAUUAUGUGGGCACAUAAGUAGUUAUCACUCAAUUAGCUAUUGGUGCUCCUCUGCCUCCUGUAGUUAUUUUUCAGGUUCCACCCAGAGUAAUAGAGUAAUAUGACGUCUUUGUGGCUGCAGUAGAUAAAGGAAAUAUAAUAACAAUGCCAAACAGAAGCAUGCCUACUCCUGGCGCGCUUUUAAUGGGAGACCCAUUUAACACGUGACACCCGUUCCGGUGUAGGAAUGAUUGUUGUGUUAUCAGAUAUCGUCUUACUUCGCGACCUUUGUAGACCACUAAGUAAUCUUAAUGAUGCACCUACACUUUGCAAUUAUCUUGAGUGCUUCUAUGCUCUUAGAAAGUCGUGUCAUCUACGAUAAACACAUUGGUGGGUGCUUUAUACAAGGUAUUUUGUGCAUCACCAGACUCAUGAAGAAAAGAAAUGCGUCAAGCAUGCUUCAAUUAUCUUAGCCUUGAAGGCAUAUGCUCACAAGGACCGAUAUCUUUACUUUCAUGACUCAACCGACGCCUCAUAGUCCUAUUUCUUCAUUUUUUUCUAUUGCUAUCUAUGGUGUUGGCUGUUUCUCUCAACCUGUUCCCAUCACCAAAACCGUUAUAGCUUGGGGCUCGACUCAUCUUGGGUGCAUCUGGGAUCAUCUUUCCAAUUAUCAAGUCGGAAGGAGUUCGACAAAUGUACUUCUCAGCAAUGGUUGCAGCAUACUACAAAGCUCCUCAAGUUGCUUAACCAUCAAUCAUAUCUUGAGUUUUUAAUGUUGGAAUGGUAUUGGAAGUAGGGUCCUAAUCUUCAUUUGGGGAGGUUGUGAUUAUUGUUUGGUUUGAAGGUUUUUGGAUUUAGGUAUAUGCAAUGCCUAAAGAAGUUGAAUUGGUUAUUAUUGUUUGUUGCUUAUAGACUUAAAAUGAGAGUUUGUGUUUCGAAGUUAUGUGUAGUAACGAAUGUAUUAGCUGCGAUUGUGUUUGUGAAAUUUCUGAUUAAUCACCAUAUCCGACAGUGGUUUUAAAAUUUUUUUAUGUUCAACGAUAAGGUAAAGUAUUAACCUUUUGGGAUGCUCUAAUUCUGGUGCGAAGAAAAAGAUGAAAUAUGAUAAAUUAAUUGCAUUUAAACUGAUUAUUGCGACUUGAAUUUGCUCUAUAAUUCGGAGUGUUUGGAUGCAACUAUUUAUUAUUGUGAUUUUCUUAUUGUUUCGAUAAGUAUCAAAAUACCUGCAUUUACAUCUGUUUGUUCAAGUAUAUUGGUGUUCUGCAAUACAAAUGGUAAAUAAUGUUGUAAAAUUUUUGGUAUUAUAUGGCAUUUUGUCGCUUUUGUUGGUUUUGAAUUGCUUAUAUUUAUGGCUUUUUGACUUUAAGUUAGGGUGGUAGCUUGUGAGCGUGAUCAACGAGAUCUUGUAAUUGCUGGUAAUUUUUGCUCCCUAAAACGAUCAUUAUUAGGACUUAUUAUUUGAAUGGUGAAGCCCAAAUAGCCUUAUGGUGUUUGUGUACUUUGUAGGGGAUGUGAAUGUUUCCCCUCAUUACUUGACAGCAGAAGUGAGUCCAAACAAAUGGUCAUCAUCUUAUUUGUUUGCUUUCAUUUUGUUCUAUUUGUUCUUAUAUCUUUCUUACUAUAAAAUGGGUUAUUAUGCUGUUGUUGCCAUCUUCAUAUGUGAAUCAUUAUUUUUCUAAUAAUCUUCCAAAUCAGCCAAUGACCGUUUUAUUUGUGCAAGUGAGGUUCAUCCGUGGAGUGUCAGAAUGAAGCAAAAAAAGGUAGUUUUUACUACUUUAGUGAAGGAGUGAAGGAUGGACAUACGUUUCACAAGAUAUGUUUUUAAUCAGUGGAGUGUCGGAAGGAAGAAAAAAAGGGAGUUUUUAGUAACUAUAAACAAAUACACCGACUCCGGUUGCCGUUAUGCGCCUUUAUAGUUUUGAGAGAUCUUAUGGAACUGUGCAGUUAUUCUUUUAGAUCUUUUUU